rnacentral:rRNA from 1 species
AUUGAACGCUGCGGCAGGCCUAACCCAUGCAAGUCGCGCGGAUGAAGGGAGCUUGCUCCUGGAUUCAGCGGCGGACGGGUGAGUAAUGCCUAGGAAUCUGCCUGGUAGUGGGGGAUAACGUCCGGAAACGGGCGCUAAUACCGCAUACGUCCUGAGGGAGAAAGUGGGGGAUCUUCGGACCUCACGCUAUCAGAUGAGCCUAGGUCGGAUUAGCUAGUUGGUGGGGUAAAGGCCUACCAAGGCGACGAUCCGUAACUGGUCUGAGAGGAUGAUCAGUCACACUGGAACUGAGACACGGUCCAGACUCCUACGGGAGGCAGCAGUGGGGAAUAUUGGACAAUGGGCGAAAGCCUGAUCCAGCCAUGCCGCGUGUGUGAAGAAGGUCUUCGGAUUGUAAAGCACUUUAAGUUGGGAGGAAGGGCAGUAAGUUAAUACCUUGCUGUUUUGACGUUACCAACAGAAUAAGCACCGGCUAACUUCGUG